rnacentral:lncRNA from 1 species
CUCUAGACAUUUUAUUUAUAUGCAACAGGUUGACGAAGAAAAGAAUAAAUAGUUGAAGAUAAGGGAGAGACAGAGUAAAAAGUUCAUGUAUUCAGAGAAAGGUGGGGGUUAGCAAGUAGUGGGAGAGAUGGUAAAUAGUUGAGGAACAAGAAAACUUGGGGAAAUUCUAGUUUGUAUUCUCCGGCUAGUACUCCUUAUCCGA